UACGUAGGGGGCAAGCGUUGUCCGGAAUCAUUGGGCGUAAAGAGCGUGUAGGCGGUCCGGUCAGUCGGUUGUGAAAGCAGGAGGUCACCAUCAUGACCGGCCGAUACUGCCGGGCUAGAGUCCGGAAGAGGUGAGUGGAAUUCCUGGUGUAGCGGUGAAAUGCGCAGAUAUCAGGAGGAACACCGAUGGCGAAGGCAGCUCACUGGGACGGUACUGACGCUGAGACGCGAAAGCGUGGGGAGCAAACAGG
rnacentral:rRNA from 1 species